AACUUUAGCCUUAUGCCAUUGCAUUUUUAAACUCAUUUUUCUUAAUCAAACUUGUAAAUGGACUUAACUAUACUUGACUUAAAACUUCAAAAAGACAAAAAGAACUAACACUCAUUCAAACCUUUUUAGGCCUUUGGUGCCUUUGUUAAACUUGAAAUUUUAUUAAAAGCAACUCAUUCACUUUGAAAGUUAUACCACGAACUACGAGGUUUUGAUUCCUCAUUUUAU
rnacentral:lncRNA from 1 species